UAGAGAUUCUUGUUCUGUUAAACCGACCUUCAUUAGUAAGUUUGAUCAUUUGACUGGUUUCCCUUUUAACAUGAAUAGGUUCUCUCUAGUUUUCUGUGAUGUUUCUGGAGCUGCUUUCUUAUAAAAGGUUGCGUUAACCAACAUGUAACUGUUGGUCGAUCGUUAACUUCGCCAUAGUCAAGAUGAUCAGAUUAUAAACUAAAAGAAAAAUGCUGGAGGCAACCGCAAGGGGAACUGCGGCGUAACUACGUCCCACGUGGCAUUAAAUGGAAACGACACCAUUUCCUCAAAACCCUAGCGCAAUGCUUCUAUGUUUUGGUUUUAGCUUCUUGCCUUGAUAAAGCAAGAAGAAGAAGAAUAAAAGUUGUGCAUACUAAGUGUUUGCAUAAACGUGUAGGUGAAAGGCCUUUGUUUCUGGGCUCUGUUUUCAAUUUCUCUAUCACACUUUCACAAUGUACUUCAGCUCCUUUUUAUACACAAGGAGAUCAUUUACAGAUUGAUCAAAAACAAUUCACAUCACUAGAAGAAUUACACAGGAAUAUUCUGGAAGAUGCUAGGCGUGGAAAUGCUUCACUGGCUAUUGUUGGCAGAGCCUCUUGAAGAGCAUUCAGACUUGAUUUUCUACAACACACUAGUGGAGUGAGGUGCUGUGGUAUUUUCUGCAUCAUUGUGGCUAAGGUCCUGCAGCACAGAAGAGGAACGUGGGACAGAGUUGUCCUUGUGGCUGGGACGUGGUGCAGUGCUGUCCUUGUGGUUGGAGGCCUUAAUAGCCACCUCGAUCCAAGGGGCACCAAUGAAAUGGAAACCAAGUAUGGGAUGGUGGUGCCAAGGGAGAAAUUUGAGGUGAUUGGUGAGGUAAGGCUGUGUAGUUGGCUGCAAAAAAGGAUGGUGGUGGCGCUUGAUAAGCUUAAUCAAAUCAGUGGUAGCAAGUUAACGCAGUUUGACCAGGUUUCUGGCAUACUUGACAGAAGGAUCUUGGUGCAGCUUGACUAAAAGGGAGUUGAGAACCUCCUCUACUAGGGCCACGACCACGUCGCCCUCUUGAAAAGGAACCUCUACGAUGGUUUGAGGGAAGACAUUUGGGCGACUUGAAGUUGCAUUUGUUGCAAGAGAGGUUCCUAAAAGCAAUGUGUUAGUUUGAUGUAAUAAACAAGAUUCAUGAUUCAACAAAUAACUGUAAAUCUAUGGGGUGGAAAGAGUAUUGGGUCGAGUGGUAAGUGAUGUAACCAGUGAUUCAUAAUCAGAACCAAGGCCAGCAAGAAGGUAGAUGGUGAAUUUGGAUGGAGAGAGGUUGACCAGCAGCCCCAAGGGAAGAUGCAAGAGAGGUAGCUUUGUUAAAGUACUCUGUGAUUGAGAAAGAACCCUUCUUGAGAGUGGCAAGCUGGUAUUUGGUGUGCAUGAUAUGUGCUGUGGAUUGUGCAGCAAAGAGUGUGUGUAGAGUAGACCAAACCUCCUGAGAAGUAGAACAAGUUAGAAUUUGUGCAAGAACUGAAUCUGAAAGAGAUGCAUUAAUAACCGAAAUAAUCAAUUAGUCUUGUAAGACC